AUGUUUUUUCAGAAAGGAAUCUCUCUCUUUCUCCCACACAAGGUCCAGUAUAAUACUCACAAAGGAAUACGCAUUGAGAAAGUGUUGGAAGUGAUUUUCUGGGUCAAGCUCUGCAUUACAGCAAAUAUGGAUUCAAUAAGUAAAGAGGAGAAUAUUCUCAUGAUACUCUCAGAGUUUAUUCCGGAGGCUUCCUGGAACCCAGCUGUGCAGAAGUUUGAGGUAGGCCCAGUAGUGCCAUGGUCUUAUCUUAAAGUCUUCCUUUUUUUUUCUUAAACAACAAACAACUCUAUUGACGUGUAAUCUGUAUGCCAUAAAAUUCGCUCAUUUUAAGUAUACAAUUAAAUUAUUUUUAGUAAUUUUACUGAGUUGUUGAGCCAUCAUCUUGAUGCAGUUUUAGAACAUUUUCAUCACUCCAAUAAGACCCCUCCUCCAUUUAACAGUUAAUCCCCAUUCUUACCCCAGCCCUAGGCAACCACCUACAUGUCCUCUGUUUCUAUAGAUUUACCUAAAGCUUUGUGCUAUUAUUCCCUCUGAGCUACUCUAGUUGCAGGUUAUAAUGACUGAAGGCUAAUUUACCCUAGAAUUGUCUCAUAGCAAGCAAAGGUUGUCUCUUAAGCUCAGCAUGUCUUCUAUUUCAAGCCACUGUAGAGGAUACAUCUGGUACAGAUGUUCUUAUUUUGAGUCUAAACUGUGUUUUUCCACUGUGAUUCUGAUAAAUUUUAUGGGGGCAAGCCUGACAGGCAUCUUUUGCAAGAAAUUAAAACUUAUGCUAAGUUAAGGAUGUGACCAUCAAGAAGUCUGCCUCUCACAUUUGUCUCCUGACUUGGUUUCCCUACAUACCAAUCUAAAACUGGAUUAAUCUUCAUUAUUUGAAUUACAUAAGAGGGGUAUCGACAUAAAAUUAUGAACGAUCCAUUCCAUCUAGUGGUCCCUGUGCCCUUACUUUGUCAUGUGUUAUGCAAUCAAAAAAAAAAUUCUACUUACUUGGUAUACAUCAAUAAAGUGAAAACUAACAUGAUGGCUUUUUCUUCACAUCUCCUAAGUUAGGUUUCUA
rnacentral:lncRNA from 1 species